rnacentral:rRNA from 1 species
GAUGAACGCUGGCGGCGUGCCUAAUACAUGCAAGUCGAGCGAACAGAUGAGGAGCUUGCUCCUUUGACGUUAGCGGCGGACGGGUGAGUAACACGUGGAUAAUCUACCUAUAAGACUGGGAUAACUUCGGGAAACCGGAGCUAAUACCGUAUAAUAUAUUGAACCGCAUGGUUCAAUAGUGAAAGACGGUUUUGCUGUCACUUAUAGAUGGAUCCGCGCCGCAUUAGCUAGUUGGUAAGGUAACGGCUUACCAAGGCGACGAUGCGUAGCCGACAGGAGGGGGUGAUCGGCCACACUGGAAGUGAGACAGGGUCCAGAGUCCUAGGGGAGGCACCAGUAGGGAAUCGUCCGCAAUGGGCGGAAACCUGACGGAGCAACGCGGCGUGAGUGAUGAAGAUCUUCGGAUCGUAAAGCUCUGUUAUUAGGGAAAAACAAAUGUGUAAGUAACUAUGCACGUCGUGACGGUACCUGAUCAGAAAGCCACGGCUAACUACGUG